AGGGGUAUAGCUCAGCUGGUCAGAGCGCUGGUCUCCAAAACCAGAUGCCGUAGGUUCGAAUCCUGCUACCCCUGCCA
rnacentral:tRNA from 1 species